UACGUAGGGUGCAAGCGUUAAUCGGAAUUACUGGGCGUAAAGCGUGCGCAGGCGGUUGUGUAAGACAGAUGUGAAAUCCCCGGGCUCAACCUGGGAACUGCAUUUGUGACUGCACAGCUGGAGUGCGGCAGAGGGGGAUGGAAUUCCGCGUGUAGCAGUGAAAUGCGUAGAUAUGCGGAGGAACACCGAUGGCGAAGGCAAUCCCCUGGACCUGUACUGACGCUCAUGCACGAAAGCGUGGGGAGCAAACAGG
rnacentral:rRNA from 1 species